rnacentral:rRNA from 1 species
GAACUACAUUCAAUAAGCGGAGGAAAAGAAACCAACAGGGAUUGCCCUAGUAACGGCGAGUGAAGCGGCAACAGCUCAAAUUUGAAAUCUGGCGUCUUCGGCGUCCGAGUUGUAAUUUGCAGAGGGCGCUUUGGCAUUGGCAGCGGUCCAAGUUCCUUGGAACAGGACGUCACAGAGGGUGAGAAUCCCGUACGUGGUCGCUAGCCUUUACCGUGUAAAGCCCCUUCGACGAGUCGAGUUGUUUGGGAAUGCAGCUCUAAAUGGGAGGUAAAUUUCUUCUAAAGCUAAAUACUGGCCAGAGACCGAUAGCGCACAAGUAGAGUGAUCGAAAGAUGAAAAGCACUUUGGAAAGAGAGUUAAAAAGCACGUGAAAUUGUUGAAAGGGAAGCGCUUGCAGCCAGACUUGCCUGUAGUUGCUCAUCCGGGUUUCUACCCGGUGCACUCUUCUAUAGGCAGGCCAGCAUCAGUUUGGGCGGUUGGAUAAAGGUCUCUGUCAUGUACCUCCUUUCGGGGAGAUCUUAUAGGGGAGACGACAUGCAACCAGCCUGGACUGAGGUCCGCGCAUCUGCUAGGAUGCUGGCGUAAUGGCUGUAAGCGGCCCGUCUUGAAACACGGACCAAGGAGUCUAACAUCUAUGCGAGUGUUUGGGUGUCAAGCCCGAACGCGUAAUGAAAGUGAACGGAGGUGGGAACCUUUCGGGGUGCACCAUCGACCGAUCCUGAUGUCUUCGGAUGGAUUUGAGUAAGAGCAUAGCUGUUGGGACCCGAAAGAUGGUGAACUAUGCUUGAAUAGGGUGAAGCCAGAGGAAACUCUGGUGGAGGCUCGCAGCGGUUCUGACGUGCAAAUCGAUCGUCAAAUUUGGGCAUAGGGGCGAAAGACUAAUCGAACUAUCUAGUAGCUGGUUCCUGCGAC